GUUUGCUUUGCUUCUGCUUUUUCCUCUGGGUUACUUUUUGGGUCAAAUCUCUUUUGAAACACUGAAACCUGUUCUACACAAAGAGCCAGUGAAGGAGUAGGGACUUAUAUCUAAAGGCCAGAAAACUCUUUAAACUUCGAGAUUUGAGCCAAACUACACUUCUGAAUGGCGUUGCUGGGACUGAAGAGUCGCACAAACUUCCAGCAAAGUAGCUGCGGCUCCCUGAAGUGAUAAAAAACCCUAGUCAGGUACUUUUUUUCCAGAGAGCUUUACAAAUUGGUCCAUGUUGACAGAUGUUUGUCACUUAGUAACUUCUUUCCAAGUUUUUUUUCCUCCCUCUCCCCUCCUCUAAGCCUUCUUCCGAGCUUGCUUUGUUGUUUUAAAAUAUGCAUGUCUCUCAGGAAUGCAAGUCACGAGUCCAAACUUCGUGUCCAACCUCCCACAAGAAAUGAUCCUUUUAUAGGGAACCCGAUAUGUCUCAAUCUGCACUUCACUCAAAGCCUCUGGAUAUAGGGCACUGGUCCCUGCUCCAAAAUAACUCCGCAGAAACGCCUUUCCACCUAAAAAAUCCCCACGAAUGACUCCCAGGGAAGAAACAUAGCUCCCAUCAUUAAAGAAGGCAGCGGUCAGAGGGGAAUGCAGCCCGGAGGAAAAAAAAAAGAGAGAGAGAGAGAGAGAGAAAGAGUUUUGAUUUCUUUGCUCCUUGCGCCGGGCCCCCACCGGCAGCAGGUUUAUCAGGAGGAGCCGCCGCGGCGGGUGCGUGAAGCCGAGGCGGCCGCGCCGGCGGCCGGCGGAGAGGAGCGGAGAGGAGCGGGCGAGCAGCGCGGCCCGGCCCGGGGAAGGAUACAUUUUCCAAGCUGUCUCUGCAAAGAGCCAUGAGAUAUUAGAGACCUUUUACUCCUGCAAUUGAAGGAAGAGCCUGUCAUCACCAUAAAAAACUACCUGCAUGCUCCAAAUUAAAAUGAUUUUCCCUUUUCUAAUUGUGAUCCUGGCUGCAGAUGGACGCUAACAGAGGCGAUAACAUCAUCAACUAACUGCUGCUACCUUUAUCGGUGUUUGCUUCUCUGCCUGCCUUUCAUUUUGUGUGUAUUUUCUGACCUUAGCUUUUGCUGUAUCACAAAAAGUCUCCACAAGUAACAGAGCAAUAAAUCCAGCCAAAAAUAAGACAGAUUUCCUCAUCGAUGUGUAAUAAAGUUAAAGGACAUUGUUUUGUCAGACAAGCGCUAAGCAGAAAAUAAAUCUCUGGGUCUGGGGAAACAAAACGGAGUGCUGCUGGCAUGUGUGUAAAUUUACUUUUAAAAGCAAUAAAUCAAUGCUAAAUUAAACAGCUGGGUUCCCUAUCUUGGAGAAGGUUUAAUGUUUAAGGAAACCUUGACGGUGAAGUGUGCGAUGUAAUAAGAGCCCAGAAGUUAAAGCCUGAUUUCAAUCCAAGCCUCCAGUGCCCCUGCCUAUGGGUCGCCUCUGAACUUCAGGAGCUGCUGUGAGCUUGCGAGAGGGACCGCGGGGCCGACGGACAGACGGGGACCGCCAGGGCGAGCGGGACUGCGCCCAGUGGCUCGCCUCAAGCCUCCUUGCCACGCGCUUCCCGCGGAGCCCUCGCCCCCGGCCCUGCUGCCGAGAGGCUGCCUCGCGGAGCUGCUGUCAUCCACGGCGCCCGGCGACAUGUGGUAACCUGUCGGAAUAGUUUCAUACUGCUAUUAUCUAAAUGCUAAUGUCAUCGUUUCUGCACCAUGACACAGAUACAUGGCGUGCGGGAAGCCGCAUCAGGGAGAGGCAGAGCUCCCUGGGUUUUUUAGCUGAGACCCCCCAUUUUAAGAGCAUCCAUAAGCGACUACUAAGAAGUUAGGCAUACCUCUUUGCUCUCUCUCUGUUUUAUAACAUUUGUAGAAAUAGAUCACAAAUGUGAUUAGGAAAAUAAUGCCUCCGGCACUGUGGCAAAGAGAGAAUGAGAAGGAAAGAAGAAAUAAAAAGAGAGAAAGAAAGAGAGAGAAAGAGAGAAAGAAAGAAAGAGAAGGGAAGAAGAGAGAAAGAGAAAGAGAGAGAAAAGAGCCUAGGGAGACCUGCAGUAGCAUUUUAGCACUCUGAUGUAGACAAAACAUUGAAUCAAUAACUUAUUAAAAAGCCCAAACAACAAAAGCAAUAUUGUAGAGCAGAAAAUGACAUGGUUUUGUGUUAGGAAGUAUCUGUAUGUGAUUGAAAAUUUUUGAAAUUGUGAAGUAAAAUUUGAAAAUAACCUGACAAUAAAGAUAUUUUAAUACUUAGGCA